rnacentral:lncRNA from 1 species
CCCUCCUCUGUUUUCUGCAGGAGUGUGUGCAAGAUUGCUAUCAUUUCCUCCUUAAAGUGCCUUAUGAAGUUUAGCCCGGGCGGCAAUUCUGGUCUCCAUCCCUCCGUUUUGUCUGCAAGCAGAGGUCUCACCUUCAUUUUUGGAAGGUAUUGUCCUGGGUGUCACAUCCUAGACCACAGAGAACAAGUCUGAACAAAUGUCAAAAACUUCCUGUCCUGGUGGCCGGCCCCGUGGCCUACUGGUUAAAUUUCCUCAUGCUCUACUUAGGUGGCCCGGAUUUAUGGGCACGGAUGGGCUCAGGGCCAAUCUUCCUCAAGGGAAAAAAAAGAAAGAUUGGCAAUGGAUGUUAGCCCAGGGCUAAUCUUCCUCACAAAAACAAACAAAAAGAGCUUCCUAUCUGCAGACAGCAUUCUCUCAUCACAGUGCAAUUCAGAAAUCGUUUUUGGAAGAUAAACUUGGAAACUCAGGACCAGACUUCAUAAAGCGCGUCGGUCCAGCAGAAAGCCGUCACGGGCGCUGUAAUGAGUGCUCAGAGCUGUGCAGGAAUGAGGACAUCCCCUCACUCCUCGCAUACUCCAGCUGGCCUUGCAGAGCCUGUGGCCUGGCCGCCUUGUACUUUUCAGGAGCCAGGGAGCCGGGAGAUGCGACCAGAGCCGGGGCCGUGGGCCGGCCUGUGGUGCCUCUUCCUCCCCACAGGCAGUUGACUGAACACGGCGCACCCUAGACGGGCCUCUGAGCCGGUUUUUGGGAAUAGCUGUUUUAUUUUAUUUACAGUCAAUUACAGGAAAUAAAUCACCUCUUAGUUUUCUGGGCAACGGUUGGCUCCGAGCUUCGAGAAUUACAGGACGAGCGUGGAGUUGGGAGGAGUCUUGUCCAUGUUGCCACCCAGGAACUUACCCCUGGGAAGGAGGCCAGGCCUCAGAGGUGCCCAGCCUGGGCCCCGGGCCCCGGGCCCCAAGCCGCAGGCGCUGUGCACGUGGAGGUUUUUCACAAGCGUGUUCCCAGAGAGCCGCUGCCCCCCACCCCUACGGCAGCAGGCUCCCUCUGCUUCUCAUGACCGUGUCUUCAGACCGGCCCGUGGCUCAGGCGUCGGGAGCACAGGGGCCUGGGCUGCUCCCACACGGUCAGAAAAUCAGGGAUGUGUUGUCUGUCCAGGUGCUGAGGGACCACGUUCCUGAGCGAGCGCUCCCACGGGGUGUGGCUGUCAGAGUCGUCACACGGUGGGGCUGAAGUUCUCCAGCUGGGAAGUGGCCUCAGUUCGGCGGCCAGUCCAGGCCCGCGGUUGCCUCCCUCCCCAUCCCAAGACUGCUCCGUGCCUACUAGUUUCUCUCUCUGUCUCCCUCUCUCUCUCGUAAAUGACCUUUGAGAGUUGGAAGAACUGUUAAUCUUUCCCCAAAGUUUAUUGAGGAAUGGACAAAUUAGGAAAAGUUUUCUUUUUCUAUUUGUAUUAAGAUUUCUGGUUUGUAACUUUUUUUUUUUGUUUUUUGCUGAGGAAAAUUGGCCCUGAGCAAACAUCUGUUUCCAAUCCUCCUCUUUUUUUGGGUGAGGAAGAUUAUCCCUGAGCUAACAUCCGUGCCCACCUUCCUCUGUUUUGUAUGUGUGACGCCUCUACAUACACACACUGUCAGCAUGGCUGCUGAGUGGUCUAGGUCCACACCCAGGCUGAACCUGCAAACCCCAGGCCGCUGAAGGGGAGCAUGCAAAACCCUAACCACUGUGCCACGGGGCCGGCCCCUAGCCGUGUUUUAGUUGAAGAAGUUAGGUCAGUUUUUAUCCAGCCAUCACUACUGGACUUGGUGCGUAUGUUCUGGCACCAGCUGCAGAGUUUCCAACAGAAACUGGGGAAGCGGAAUUGCAGUGGUUGUUUCACCUGACCUGGCGACUCCACAGUGGGGACCUGACCGGUUUGCUGGGUUUCUGCUGGUUCCCCAUCCACCUCCUCUGCUGUGGGCUCUCACUGUUGGGUGCUGCACCGGGCAGCUUGAGCUGUGCCGCAUAACCAGCCACCCGGAUUCAGAGCUGAGCGUGUCCUCCGAGCUCGUGAACCUGUGCUGGGCGGUUCUGUCACUGCUCAGCACCACUGCUUGUUUGCCGCCCCUGGGCUCUCACCCCGGCCCGCUGGCCCCGUGUGUCACGGCAGGGGCGCUCCAGGAGCCAUGAGGGGGCACCGAUGCGCCAGCACCCUUCAGUCAGUGCUGGCAUGGGGACGCGCGGCCACCCCCUCAGCCCAGCCCAGCUCUCGGGUGGCACGUCCACACUGCCGCCUCGUGGGACCAGCUGUAAGGCCACCUUGCGGGGGCUGUGGGCCUGCAGGGGAGCACCCACCACUUUCUCAGGCUGCACUGAGGGCAUCUCUUCCCAAAGGUUCACAGGGAAGGAGGGAGGCAGAGUGAAUGAGCAGGUGCGGCCCGUCGUGCCUGGAAGCCCGAUGCCCAGCGAGCGCCAGGACUGUGCUGGCCGGGGAGGCGUGGGGAGCGGCUGCUGCUCGGGGACAGCCCCAUCGAGGCCCAUGCCCUCAGCAUAGAAGUCUGCUCCACCCUGGGAGCUCAAGUGGUGCUGGGCUGCCGUCCUGCGUGUGGCUCUGGGUCUGAACAGCUUGCAGGACUCCUGCCCCAGGGCCCACGCCCGCCGUGGGUCACGCGGCCCCUGAUCUUACUGUUGCCUCUCGCUGUCGCACGUGGCCUGGUCUGUCUGUUUGGAGGACUUGGAGGCUGACCCAGGUCCUGGCGGACGUUAGGGUAGUGGGGGAGGAGGAUGCAAUAGGGCCGAGGGACGGGUAAGGCAGAGGAGGAACGGGAGAGGGGCGCCUUGCAGGACUCCGAGACACGAGUGAGGCUGUGAGGACGAUGGACGGGAGACAAAGGCUCCAUCCUGUGUGACCCCACAGGGGACCCUCUGGAAGGGAUGAGCUAGGGGACAGUGACGGGACCAGUGUCCCAGGGGGAUGGAUAGGGACAGAUGGACAGACGGAGCAUGGGGGCUUCAGGGCAGUGAAACUCCUCUGCACGACCCAUAACGGUGGACACACAUCAUUACGUAUCUGUCCAAACCCACAGACCGUCUGACACCAAGCCUGGUGACGACCAGGGUCGUUUCCUGGGCAUCUUUGUCCCCAGGGGCCGGGACGGACAGGCCACAUCCACCUGUCGGGUGGCCAGGAGAGCUGCGGGCUGGGGAGGCAUCGUUGGGGUCCUGGGACAUCUGGGGGGACGCAGCUCGACCCGGGCGGGCGGCCUUGUGGGGCCUGGUCCAGGACGGGGUGUGUUCUGAAGCCCAGGGCCUCCCGCCGCGUGGGGCUGCUCGGGGCUGCCAGGGCUUAUUCUCGGGACUCCUGUGUUUGUGGGUUUGCUUUUUUCUGCAGCACAAACUCCCCACUGUGUGUGGGGCUGAGCUCUCCAUGCACACAGGGCUGGCCCGCUGUCCACGUGUGUGGCCGCCGUGCCGGCCUUGUAGUGGACACUCAUAAACUUCGGUGGGAGGAGGGGGGGAGGAUGCCUGAAGGAGGAGGGAGAAGCAGUGACAGAUGAAACCCCCUUCUUCCUCUCGGGGUCGGGGUUAGAAGGUGGAAGCAGAGCGGGGAGCCAGUGAGCGCACUGAUCUGCAGGGAAGACCGUGCCCUGUGGGCCAGGAUGCAGCCCAGGUGGCCGGGGGCCAAGGGCCGAGGGUCAGGGUGAGCGGGCCCCAGGGGGCGUCUGGAAUGCAUGAGGCGCUACCCCCUCCAUGCAGUGGGGCCACCUGGGCCAGCUUCUCUCUGGCCGGGAGGGAGGAAGGCCUGGGAGGGGUGUCUGGAGGCUGGCCAGUGCCAGAGGCUUGUGUCACAGAAGAUGGGGGUGUGUGGCCCACACACGCCGGUCCUGUGUCCUGCCACCUGCAGCAGAGCCACACGCUCUCUGCGCCCGUCUGCUCCAAAGGCCUCCCAGGGGCGGGAGGGGGACCCUCAGGGACGCCGUGUUCCCACCCGCCUCACAUCCUCCGGCAUUUUGGUUCCUAUGGGUGUGGGUGUGGGCCGGGCUGGACCCUGCGGUCCUGCCCUGCUGCUCCAGGUGCAUCCACGGCGGGUUCCUCCUGAGAGAUUCUCCCAGAAGCCGUCUGGGCUUCAGGAGGCAGCGCCUCCCCCAGGCUCCGUGCCCGCAGCACCCGGCGUGGGCCCAGGCGACUCAGCCCCCAACGCAGCCUUGGUCCUUCCUGCAGGAGCGGGCGGAGGUGCCGGGUGUCCGUGUGUCCGCUGGCCGCAUCCUCAGUGCACCUGCUAUCUGCUGCCCUGUUGGCGUUUAUGUGACCGGCUCCUACCUUAUGGUGUGCGUUAACGCUACAUCCUGCAUUGUGGUUAUGUUCUGCCCUGUAGGUACUUUGUGCACUGUCGUUAUUUUGGACGUUCUGGUUACUUGGUACUUUGUCGUGACGUUCCACACUGUCGUUCCAUAUUGUUACCUUGUAUGUUGUGGUACUUUCUGCCCUGUCCUGACAUUCUGCGUGUGGAACCGGCACCAAGACUACAGAAGCCAGAAUACUCACCCCAUCACCCGAUUUUUGAAGAGAAAACUUUCGGGUGUCCUUUGCAGCUUCAGUAUGUUUUCUCAGCCUCUAACGAGCAGGGGAAGCUGGGGCGGGCAGACCCCUUUGUUCCCAGUGCGUUUUCAGGGGGGGAACAGCUGCUUGGCUGCAUCUGGGUCCUGGGCUGGGGUCUCAGCGCAGAACCUGCUCCUCCGCGAGGAGCCUGUGGCAGGUCCCCUUUAGUCGCGGGCGGGCGGGCAGGCUUUGCUUCUGGGGAGAGCCCACCUCCCCGCUGUGCGAGCGCUGGCAGACGGCCCCAGAUCUGCCCCAGAUCGGCUGUCCUUGCUGACCUGUUUGUGCCCUGUGCGUCCGCACUGAGCCACAGCCGGGGUCCCUGCAGACACCGCCCCCUGCAAGGCCUCCCGCACCCUCAGCAGCCGCGCAGAGAGAGCUGCUCGGUCAGGGCGCGCCAGCUGUCCCCUUCUGCCUGCACAGCCGCCGGCCUGCCCGCCCGCGGGAGGGGUGUCCUGCCACCCCUCCUCCAGCCAUGUGCCCUCCUCAGCCUGUGGAACGCGCGCUGCCUGGGCUGGCCCCCACAGCGCCUGCCCAGCGACACACGGAGUGCGCUGAGCCCAGCCACCCCAACCGUCCUGCUGGGCGCAGCUGCCGCCCCAAGCCCAGCGGCCCCAGCCAGGCCCAGCCCCGAGAGCAAGAGCCAGAGCGAGGUGCCUGGCCUGGGCCCCUGCCGGCCCACGCGAGCCGACAUGCGGCUCCAUGAGCUGUCGCUGUGCCAGGACCCCAGCCUGAGGCAGGAGCUGCCCUCACUGGCCCGCGGCUGCGACUUCGUGCUGCCCUCCCGCUUCAAGAAGAGGCUCAAGGCCCUCCAGCAGGUCCAGGUCUGCCGCAUGUCACCCCCCCGGCCCACCCGGGUCCCUCCCGAGUCCCUCCACUGGUGGGGGGGGCGGGGCGGGGGCUGCUCGCACCCACCCGUGCAGGGAGUGUGGGUCCCGCGUGAAGUCGCUGGGAGAGCUCCUAAGAGCUCGCCCGUUGCUGGAGUUUUGGCAGUGGUGCCGUGGUGCGGCCAGGAUGCAAGCCCCCGGCGCGUGGACAGGUUCUGGCUCGGGUGGGGGCCUGACCCUGUGGUCCCGGUGGGAAGCCUGGCCCAUGGUCACGGCCAUCUCCGUGAUGACACGGCCCUGUGGGACGCCUGGCCUUCUCGGCCACAUGGUGUUUACUGGGCUGUGGGGAUCUGCACACAUGGGCCGGGCAAGUGGAUGGCUCGGUGCUGAUAGUGAGUAGUUGGCGUGUAGACGCCCUCUCCAUGGUUGAGUGUGCUCGGAGGAGUAAGACCUGCUGUGUCUACACCUUGGACGUGUUACGAGUUAGUUUGAGGGACCCAGUCGUUUGGAAGCAUCCGACAGCCCGUGAUCCCCAGAGUCUGUCUGUGACUCGAGGGGUCUCCGUGGCAGAUCUUGUCCUCGCCUCAGCUCUGGGCCGGUGCUGGGGGCAGGGCCACAGGGCUUGGGGCCGGGGCUCCUGCUCCUGAACGCCUCACCUCUUGCAGUUAGACACCCGCACGUUUUAUCCAGGCCAGGACUUAACGUCCUGUUGUGGCCAAAAAAAAUGACAUCCAAUCAGACCGGGCCAUCUGGGGGAAAAAAAGACCUGCUUUCUGCUGAUAUUUUAAUGGGAGUUUUUCUGGGAUCAUAUCUCAGCUUUUACACAGCUUGGGAAUUUUUCCUGUCUUGUGUCUUCCAACUUCUGAAGUUUUGUCUGCAGCUGGGGAAGGUGUGAGUCUGUCCCUAGAUUUUAAGGAAAGUGCCUGCAUUUGGAGACCCAGGAGUGGAAUCUGCCCCAUGCGGGUCCUGCUUUGACGAUAGGAAGACAGAUGUGGGGCAGUUAGGGUUUCUCCUGAUGGUCCACUGGGCUGUGUGGGAGACCCAGAAAUCCCUCCAGCCUCGCCCAGGAUGGUCGUGCCUGGGGGCCCGGCUCCCCGCAGAGCCCAUGCAGGAAAGUCUGCAUUGCUUUAGGGCUGCUGCUUAUCAAAUGAAAAUCACUUUUUGGGAAUCAAACUUUAUAAAUUCAUUUCAUGGGAAGUUGUUUCUUGUCACAGAAAACAUGUCUCAACCUUGUUUCUCAGCCGUGACGAUGUGCAUUGCGUAACGUGAGUGCUCCCUGGGCUGCAGGCGGUGGACCAGUGGGUCUUUCUCAUGGGGGUUGUGGGAGGAGCAGAAGGAGAGUUCUCCUGGCUCCUUUCACCCCAAGAUGUUGGAGGGCGGAUUUGGGACACAGCCUUGGGGGGUCAGCAAACAUCUUUGGGAGAGGCUGGGG